rnacentral:lncRNA from 1 species
UGACGAUAAUCGUGAUAUUUAAUAUUGCGUGAAAACGUACCUUAAGACAAGUGUCUUAAUAGGCGGCGUGGUAGUCGUGUCGUGUUAGUUUUUCCGCAGUUGGUUUUUUAUCUCUUUUACUACUUUCAAAUAGUGUGAUGUCACGUAUUGAAAAUCGAGAAUUUCGUCCGGCAAACUUGUUUAUGGUUAAAGAUUUCCAUUUUCACACGGAUUCCAAGCCACGUUCACAUUUUUCCACCUUCCGAAUUAAAUAUGCGCAUAAUUACGUCUCGAAGGAAGUUAAGGCCACGAAGUGCGAGUGUCUCGCGACUUGAAUGUGAUAAAGUUGCCGAUUGAAUAUGAAUACGCGAACAUAAACAGAAAGCAGAGAUUCUUGAACUUUGGCUGCAUUUGCAAGUGAAAGGAUGAGGCCACUGAUCCUGGGAAUAAUAAUUUUCGUCUUUUCUAACCGGUAAAGACACGGAGAGGAAAUAUAUUGCAUCUUUUCGAACGCUCUUCGCGACAAAGAGACAAAAAUGUUACUAGAACGUCAACUCGUCUUUUAUAUCGAGAAUAUUUUCGUCGUCCAUUUUCGGAUCUCUUGAUCCGUUUAAUCAUCGACUAAGGAUUCGAGCCAGUUGGUUUACACGAAGCCAUUAAUAAUUAUGUAAAGACACGGAGAGGAAAUAUAUUGCAUCUUUUCGAACGCUCUUCGCGACAAAGGGACAAAAAUAUUACCAGAACGUCAACUCGUCUUUUGUAUCGAGAAUAUUUUCGUCUUACGUCCAUUUUCGGAUCCCUUGAUCCGUUUAAUCACCGGCUAACGAUUCGAGCCAGUUGGUUUACACGAAGCCAUUAAUAAUUUAUGAAUUGGACGGAUAUCAUGGACGCGCUGUUAACACCACGCUCGUGUUUAACAUGUCGUAACGUAUGGUUCACUGAUGUAAACGAGUUGAAACGUGCUACGCAUUAAUCUUUCCCGAGUUUAUGCACGUAACGACCAACUUACGUAUCGUGGAGAGAUGCGAAAAUUGAAACAUUUGGGAUGGCACAAUGUCAACGAUCCGGAAACAAAUAAUUGAAUUCCCUUUUAUUACACGUUUGUCAACCAAUUUGAUUAAAGCAAUUAAUUCGACGUGUGAUCGGAAAAUACUUUUAUUUUUCAUGUUAAAUUAUCAUGGAGAUAAUUUUCUUGGCAAAAUUAAAACGAAAUUUUUAUUCUUUCA